rnacentral:rRNA from 1 species
GAUGAACGCUGGCGGCGUGCCUAAUACAUGCAAGUCGAGCGAGCAGACGAGGAGCUUGCUCCUCUGACGUUAGCGGCGGACGGGUGAGUAACACGUGGAUAACCUACCUAUAAGACUGGGAUAACUUCGGGAAACCGGAGCUAAUACCGGAUAAUAUAUUGAACCGCAUGGUUCAAUAGUGAAAGACGGUUUUGCUGUCACUUAUAGAUGGAUCCGCGCCGCAUUAGCUAGUUGGUAAGGUAACGGCUUACCAAGGCAACGAUGCGUAGCCGACCUGAGAGGGUGAUCGGCCACACUGGAACUGAGACACGGUCCAGACUCCUACGGGAGGCAGCAGUAGGGAAUCUUCCGCAAUGGGCGAAAGCCUGACGGAGCAACGCCGCGUGAGUGACGAAGGUCUUCGGAUCGUAAAACUCUGUUAUUAGGGAAGAACAAAUGUGUAAGUAACUAUGCACGUCUUGACGGUACCUAAUCAGAAAGCCACGGCUAACUACGUG